rnacentral:lncRNA from 1 species
AAAACACAAACCAUACAUGGUGAAAAGCUAUCUUAAUGAAUUUCUACCUCUUGAGUUAAACUACUGGAAAUUUGUACCGGGAGCCAACCUCAGCAUGAAAGCUGAGGUGGCCAGCUACAGAACUGGGAGCAGUGGGCACUAACUGGAGCAUGGGAAGUUCCAUGUGAACAUGAGGGAAAAAAAUCUCUACUGUGAGGGUGGCAGAACACUGAUCAGGCUGCCCAGAGAGGCUGUGGAGUCUCCUUCUCUGGAGAUGCUCAGAACCCACCAGGAUACUUUCCUGUGCAACCUGCUUUAGCAAGGGGUGAGACUCCAUCUCCAGGCAUCCCUUCCAGCCCCUCUGGUUCUGUGAUUGGCACAUGGUACAGGCUGAUGCCUGAUGGUGUUGGGUGGUGGGGAUGGGCAUGUUUCUCACAACAACUUGAGUAGCUUUCAGUCUCUUCUGACAGGAUGUCAGAGAGCUGUUACCUGUCUAUAAAAGGGUCCCCUCAUGCUGAGCAUGGUCCCAGGAAGAACAGAAGGUUUUAUUGCUUUUUUUUUUCCAGUGUUAAGCAUCAGCCACAGAUGCAACAAGACAGCAAGUGUUAUUUUUUAAGACUGCAAGAUUGUGCUUAUGACUGACGCUGCCUUAAUCAGCUCUAUCCUGCCUGGUCAUGGAGUUGCUGCUCUGUUGACGAAAACCACUUUGCAUGAUCCUCUGGAUCUGACAUAAGGGAGAGAUGCUGACAUCAGUGAACUUUGUGUCAAACCCUUUCUGAGGAGCUGGACCGAAGAGCCCAUUCCCACAAGAAAAGCGCGUGAUCUCAGCAUUCCCCUGUUCAGAGAUGACUCUGGCUCCCAAAGUACAGUUUAUUUCAUCCAUGAAUCAGUGGUAAACAUUGAGAACUAAAGCUUACUACUUUUUCAAGCUGGGCCUACAGAGGGGAACUUGUUCUUUUCUCUAUUUUGAGGCUUCCUAUUUUUGCACUGCAAUGAAAAGAGCUACCUAAAGUACUUGACAAGAACUUCUGAUUUCUAAGUGCAUUUCACUCUCAGGAUCUUGGGACUGGAGAUUGUUUCCUCACAUUGAUUUCCCCCCCCCCAAGACUUCCUGUCCCUUUUGAGCCAGUGAGUAAACUGUCUUUGUUUUUUUUAAUUGCCUAUGCCGUGUCUUCAUUAUACUCCACAGCUGAAAUGAUUUCUCAGAACAGGGAACAAUUUUCUCAUACUCGUAGUAUUCUGUUGAUAAGGAUGAACUUCUGAACUUUUCCUCGCUAUAUAUAGAUAAUAGAUUUCUUUAAAACCUGGAAUUUGUUCAACUCCCUGCUUUAUCUGUUAGUUUUUAACAACAUUCGGAUAUAACAUGAUCAGGGUGGUAAAACUGUUUUUCACAAGAAUGCAUCACUGAAAGAAGAAUGAGCCUUUGCUUGCUUUCAGAUGCUGAAAAAAGGGACUGUAAGCGUUUUAGAUGUAUGAAGUAAGUAGCUUUUUGGAUUGCAAAUUGCUGUGUAAAGGCAUUUAAAGCCUCCUACAGUCAUCAGACUUUGUCAGCUGAAUCCAGGGAUAUCGUGCAGAGCUGCAGAAAAGCAUUUUAUGGUUAAGUCUGGUAUCUGGUGAUGCAGUCCUCAGGAGAACUGUUUGA